rnacentral:ncRNA from 2 species
GUUCUUUGCAUCCGUCGUGGUCUCUGUCCGUCGUUCGGCGCCCAGAGCUAAGAGGGAAGCCGGUGUAAAACCGGCGCUGCCCCCGCAACUGUAAGCGGCGAGUCGAGGGUCCAUCUCGUGUCACUGGCGUUCGCGCCGGGAAGGCCGGACCCAAGGCGUCGACCCGUGAGCCAGGAGACCUGCCGCGACAGAUAACGUCCU